GACAGAGGUGCCGAGCGUUAGGCGGAAUCACUGGGCUUAAAGCGUGUGUAGGCGGGCCGUUAAGUGUCUUGUGAAAUCCCCCGGCUCAACCGGGGAAUUGCUGGGCAUACUGGCGGUCUUGAGCAAUCUAGGGGCAGAUGGAACAAGUGGUGGAGCGGUGAAAUGCGUAGAUAUCACUUGGAACGCCAACGGUGAAGACAGUCUGCUGGGGAUUUGCUGACGCUGAGACCAGAA
rnacentral:rRNA from 1 species